rnacentral:lncRNA from 1 species
CUUAUAUUUUACAAUAUUAUAUGUUUAAGAUCCACUUUAUAAUGAUAUCAUAUAAUAUAUAUUACUAUCUUAUUUUAUUCAUUUCUUACCAUGUCCAUACAACAUAAUACACAGUACAUACUCAUAACCUCUUUUACAAAUCCCAUGUAACAACUUACAAAAUUUACAAUUAACAUAAUAUAUUAGCAUCCACAAACUUCUCAAAUUUCUCACUCAUUCUAACAAACUUCUCAAAUUUCUCACUCAUUCUGAACUUCACAUAGACUAGACAUUUUUUCAUCACUCAUCUCACUCAAUUUUCCCUUAUACUCUAACGGAAUUUUCACAUACAUUACAUUUUUACAGACUCGAAACUAAACCAAAUUGAUUAUUAUAAAUCCCAAGAGAAAUGAGAAGAGGGGGUAGCCACCAAUUGCACAAGUUCAGAGCUACAAUUAAUACACCAUUACACAAUAGUCUCAUUAAAACCUUGCUACUAUCAAUUCAUCGUUUGAGUAUCAACCUCUCCACCAUAGAGCUUCACGCUCUGCCUCCAUCAUCAUCAUUAGCUUGAGCCAACAUCACAUCACCAUCACUUCCACUUUUUGUUUACUCUCA